rnacentral:rRNA from 1 species
UACAGAGGUCCCAAGCGUUGUUCGGAUUCACUGGGCGUAAAGGGUGCGUAGGCGGUCGGGUAAGUUUGAUGUGAAAUCUCACAGCUUAACUGUGAAACUGCAUUGGAUACUAUUCGGCUUGAGAGUUGGAGGGGGGACUGGAAUUCUUGGUGUAGCAGUGAAAUGCGUAGAUAUCAAGAGGAACACCAGUGGCGAAGGCGAGUCCCUGGACAACUUCUGACGCUGAGGCACGAAAGCUAGGGGAGCAAACAGG